rnacentral:rRNA from 1 species
CACGCCGUAAACGAUGGAUGCUAGCUGUUAGGAGUAUCGACCCUUCUAGUAGCGAAGCUAACGCGUUAAGCAUCCCGCCUGGGGAGUACGGUCGCAAGAUUAAAACUCAAAGGAAUUGACGGGGACCCGCACAAGUGGUGGAGCGUGUUCUUUAAUUCGAUGAUAAGCGAAGAACCUUACCAGGGCUUGACAUCCUUGGAAUUUCUCCGAAAGGAGAAAGUACUUUAUUGGACCAAGUGACAGGUGU